AUACUUGCAAGUCGAGCGGACAGAAGGGAGCUUGCUCCGGGAUGUAGCGGCGGACGGGUGAGUAACACGUGGGUAACUGCCUGUAAGACUGGGAUAACUCCGGGAAACGGGAGCUAAUACCGGAUAGUUCCCUGAACCGCAUGGUUCAAGGAUGAAAGACGGUUUCGGCUGUCACUUACAGAUGGACCCGCGGCGCAUAGCUAGUUGGUGAGGUAACGGCUCACCAAGGCGACGAUGCGUAGCCGACUGGAGAGGGUGAUCGGCCACACUGGGACUGAGACACGGCCCAGACUCCUACGGGAGGCAGCAGUAGGGAAUCUUCCGCAAUGGACGAAAGUCUGACGGAGCAACGCCGCGUGAGUGAUGAAGGUUUCGGAUCGUAAAGCUCUGUUGUUAGGGAAGAACAAGUGCAAGAGUAACUGCUUGCACCUUGACGGUACCUAACCAGAAAGCCACGGCUAACUACGUGCCAGCAGCCGCGGUAAUACGUAGGUGGCAGCGUUGUCCGGAAUUAUUGGGCGUAAAGGGCUCGCAGGCGGUUUCUUAAGUCUGAUGUGAAAGCCCCCGGCUCAACCGGGGAGGGUCAUUGGAAACUGGGAAACUUGAGUGCAGAAGAGGAGAGUGGAAUUCCACGUGUAGCGGUGAAAUGCGUAGAGAUGUGGAGGAACACCAGUGGCGAAGGCGACUCUCUGGUCUGUAACUGACGCUGAGGAGCGAAAGCGUGGGGAGCGAACAGGAUUAGAUACCCUGGUAGUCCACGCCGUAAACGAUGAGUGCUAAGUGUUAGGGGGUUUCCGCCCCUUAGUGCUGCAGCUAACGCAUUAAGCACUCCGCCUGGGGAGUACGGUCGCAAGACUGAAACUCAAAGGAAUUGACGGGGGCCCGCACAAGCGGUGGAGCAUGUGGUUUAAUUCGAAGCAACGCGAAGAACCUUACCAGGUCUUGACAUCCUCUGACAACCCUAGAGAUAGGGCUUUCCCUUCGGGGACAGAGUGA
rnacentral:rRNA from 1 species